GACGAACGCUGGCGGCGUGCUUAACACAUGCAAGUCGAACGGAAAGGCCCUGCUUUUGUGGGGUGCUCGAGUGGCGAACGGGUGAGUAACACGUGAGUAACCUGCCCUUGACUUUGGGAUAACUUCAGGAAACUGGGGCUAAUACCGGAUAGGAGCUCCUGCUGCAUGGUGGGGGUUGGAAAGUUUCGGCGGUUGGGGAUGGACUCGCGGCUUAUCAGCUUGUUGGUGGGGUAGUGGCUUACCAAGGCUUUGACGGGUAGCCGGCCUGAGAGGGUGACCGGCCACAUUGGGACUGAGAUACGGCUCAGACUCCUACGGGAGGCAGCAGUGGGGAAUAUUGCACAAUGGGCGGAAGCCUGAUGCAGCAACGCCGCGUGCGGGAUGACGGCCUUCGUGUUGUAAACCGCUUUCGCCUGUGACGAAGCGUGAGUGACGGUAAUGGGUAAAGAAGCACCGGCUAACUACGUG
rnacentral:rRNA from 1 species